rnacentral:lncRNA from 1 species
CCCUUCUCGCCCACAGGUAGAGGGCUCAGCUCCUGCCCCUUUCUCACCCACAGGUAGAGGGCUCAGCUCCUGUCCCCUUCUCACCCACAGGUAGAGGGAUCAGCUCCUGUCCCCUUCUCACCAACAAGUAGAGGACUCAGCUCCUGUCCCCUUCUCACCCACAGGUAGAGGUUUUAAGACCUGUCCCUUCUCACCCACAGGUAGAGGGUACAG